GCUCUGAGAUGCUGGGAGAAUAAGCUGUCACUUACUGAGAGAGGGAAGACUAUGUGAAGAGCAGGUUCAAGUUGAUACGUUAAGGUUGAGAAGACUCAAAUAACUGUGUGAAGAUGCCAAGCGGGCGGCUGGUUAUGCAAGAUUGGAGUUAAGGAGACUUGAUCUGCUCUGGAGAUACACACUCAGGGUAAACAUGGUAUUUACAACCAUGAAACUGGAUGAGAUCUCUAGGAGAGUAGAGAUUCGGAAGAGAAGAGGACCAAGGAACAAGCUUGGGGCCAUUUGGUAUUAUUGAGGGCGUAAGGAUAAACUAUCAAAGGCAGAGGAGAGGCCAAAGAGCUUGGCAUCCUGGAAGCCAAGCGAAGAAACCGAAGGAGGAGAGGACAUCCAGCUGUGUCAAAUGCUACAGAUGGGUCCAGUAGGAGAGAGCUGAGCAUUUAUUUCUUGUUCACUUUGAAAAGAGCUAUUUCACUGAGUGGUAGAGAUGAAAGCUGGGGUCAAAAGAAAACAGGAGGAACAGGAUAGAUAACGAUGAGCAAAGAGAACUCUCUUGAGGCAUUUUCUAUAAAAAGGAAUAGAGAAAUAUGGCGACAGUCAGAAAAGAGAUAAGUGAAAUAAGAAAAAAAAGUCAGGAGCUGAAAAAGAAGAUGAGAAGGAGUAUUGGAGUUUUGAGGAGAACAAAGCUGUGAAACGGGCAUCUAAGAAAAUGAGGACCAUCAUCCAAAAUGUUAGCUCAACCACAGCUGCCCCAAGCCCGUGUGCUUAUACCAUGGCCACAGAGAAAGACCUUAGCGGCACCGGGCCAACAUAAUCCACUCUGGCUGCCCUAGUGUGAAACCUCAAUCAAAAGGUGAAACCCCACACAAGAGAUGAAAACCACUCUGGGUAAUACCUAAUGUCUACAAUAUUUUCUUCUUCAGUCUUGGCUAUGACUUUUUCUCUGCUCAAAGGUGACCGUUUCUUCUGUACAGCACAGGGAACUAUACUCAAUAUCUUGUAAUAACCUUUAAUGAAAAAGAAUAUAAAAACAAAUAUUUGUAUGUACAUGCAUG